rnacentral:rRNA from 1 species
GACGAACGCUGGCGGCGUGCUUAACACAUGCAAGUCGAACGGAAAGGCCCUGCUUUUGUGGGGUGCUCGAGUGGCGAACGGGUGAGUAACACGUGAGUAACCUGCCCUUGACUUUGGGAUAACUUCAGGAAACUGGGGCUAAUACCGGAUAGGAGCUCCUGCUGCAUGGUGGGGGUUGGAAAGUUUCGGCGGUUGGGGAUGGACUCGCGGCUUAUCAGCUUGUUGGUGGGGUAGUGGCUUACCAAGGCUUUGACGGGUAGCCGGCCUGAGAGGGUGACCGGCCACAUUGGGACUGAGAUACGGCCCAGACUCCUACGGGAGGCAGAAGUGGGGAAUAUUGCACAAUGGGCGGAAGCCUGAUGCAGAAACGCCGCGUGCGGGAUGACGGCCUUCGGGUUGUAAACCGCUUUCGCCUGUGACGAAGAGUGAGUGACGGUAAUGGGUAAAGAAGCACCGGGUAACUACGUG